UUCUGCUGAAGCAUAAACCAGAACCAAAUCUGAACAGUAAAGGUGUUACGCAAGGAAUAUGCUUUAAGGGUCAAACCGCAGGAGAAACCAUGAACGAGGAAAAAAACAUUUCUAUCAAUCUUAUGGUCAGCAAAUCCAAGAAAAUGGUUUGUUAUGCAGAAGCAGGGGAGGAUUUUGUCAAUUUACUCUUCAGUUUCCUAACUGUUCCACUUGGGUUCAUACUAAAAGAGAUGCAGGAUGGCUCUUCCUCUACGAAAGGCUGCAUUGAUCAGUUGUACAAGAGUGUCCAAGAUCUUGAUGAGCAAUACUAGUCAAAUUACCACAAGGAAAUUCUACGAACUCCCAAGCUUUAUCCUGGUUUUUGUUAUGAGAACCAUCUUCUAGGAGUUGAGGAUGGCCCGGAAGCCUCAUAUUAUUAUGCACUAUACCGGUCAUUUAAUGGUGACCGGGAAAUAUUGACUAAUGAUGAAACCCUUAUCCCUUAUAGUGCGACGACAGUUCCACUCAAACUGAAGUAUUGCAAAUCCCAAGGCGAUUACAAAAGUGAUGCAGGAUUUUUGAGUAGACCGGCGAUGUUUACAAUAACUGACAGUCUUAUGAUAAGGCCUAUAUCUCCUCUCUUUGGCGUUUCUGUUUUGAACGAAUUGAAAGUGCCAUUCGCAGACAUUGAGAUGCAAACUGUGCAGGUUGGGAAGGAGGAGGCCCUUGGUCUUUUGGUGACCUCUUUUCUUUGUGACUCUGCUCUCACCAGUGUAUUCCUCAGUCACAUUAAAUAAAGAACUGUAUCCCGGAGAGCUCGAUUGCCUAAUAUGAUAAGGCUUUGCAUCUUUUGUUUGUGCCUCUUCUUUAUCAAUACCUGCAUUGGGAGCCGAAGCAAGAAUAAUGAGAGCUUGGUUAAUAUAAGAUCCAUAUGAGGAUCUAUCUUUAGUUCUUUUCAUCUUCUGUUCUAAAAGCUUGUAUUAAAAUAGGACUUUGUUUGCAUGUAGUA